rnacentral:rRNA from 1 species
UGCAUAUUCAAAAGCGGAGGAAAAGAAACUAACUAGGAUUCCCUUAGUAACGGCGAGUGAACCGGGAUGAGCUCAAAUUUGAAAUCUGGCGUCUUUCAGGCGUCCGAGUUGUAAUCUAUAGAGGCGUUUUCCGCGCCGGACCGCGUCCAAGUCUCUUGGAAUAGAGUAUCAAAGAGGGUGACAAUCCCGUACUUGACGCGACAACCGGUGCUCUGUGAUACGUUCUCAACGAGUCGAGUUGUUUGGGAAUGCAGCUCUAAAUGGGUGGUAAAUUCCAUCUAAGGCUAAAUAUUGGCGAGAGACCGAUAGCGAACAAGUACCGUGAGGGAAAGAUGAAAAGCACUUUGGAAAGAGAGUUAAACAGCACGUGAAAUUGUUAAAAGGGAAACGAUUGAAGUCAGUCGUGUGAAAGGUAUUCAGCCGUCUCUGGCGGUGUAUUUGCCUUUCACGGGUCAACAUCAGUUUAGUCCGGUAGAAAAAGGCUGGAGGAAGGUGGCACCCUCGGGUGUGUUAUAGCCUCCUGUCAUAUGUGCCGGAUUAGACUGAGGAACGCAGCUUGCAGCAAUGCCGGGGUUCGCCCACGUACAAGCUUAGGAUGUUGACAUAAUGGCUUUAAACGACCCGUCUUGAAACACGGGACCAAAA